AUGAAGACACUGGCUGGACCUUUGUUCCUGUGCUUGUGGCUGCAGCUGAACUGUGCUAGCAGAGGAGAGCGGGUGAACCAAAGUCCUUCCCACCUGAGUGUCCAGGAGGGAGCCAGCGCUGUUAUCACCUGCACCUACACAGAUGAUAACAGUUAUUACUUCUCCUGGUACAAGCAAGAGCCUGGGGCAGGCCUCCAAUUCUUCAUAAAUGUUAUUUCAGGCAUGGACAGAAAACAGGAACAAGGACUCAUUGUCUUACUGAAUAAGAAGGAGAAACGCCUCUCCCUGAACAUCACAGCUGCCCGUCCUGGGGACUCAGCCACAUACUUCUGUGCAGCCAGUGCACAGUGCUCCCCGGGCACCUGCGGCCUGCACACAAACCUGGGAAGUGGGGAGAGGAGCAACUUUAAAAAUGUCGGAAACAGAAGAUUUUCCCCCUUCAACUCUUAG